UACGUAGGGCGCAAGCGUUGUCCGGAAUUAUUGGGCGUAAAGAGCUCGUAGGCGGUUUGUCGCGUCUGCUGUGAAAGUCCGAGGCUCAACCUCGGAUCUGCAGUGGGUACGGGCAGACUAGAGUGUGGUAGGGGAGACUGGAAUUCCUGGUGUAGCGGUGGAAUGCGCAGAUAUCAGGAGGAACACCAAUGGCGAAGGCAGGUCUCUGGGCCACAACUGACGCUGAGGAGCGAAAGCAUGGGGAGCGAACAGG
rnacentral:rRNA from 1 species